rnacentral:lncRNA from 1 species
UUUGAACUAUUGAUGUUUUUAUGUUGGUGUGGUUAAGGUUAAGGUUUGAAAAGUUUAUAUUUGAAUAAUAUGUUAUUAAGUUAUAUAAUCUAUGCAUGAAACUCUUGGUCACACAUAAAAGUUUAUAUUUGAAUCAUAUGUUAUUAAGUUAUAUAAUCUAUGCAUGAAACUCUUGGUCACACAUGAAUUGUUUCUGCGAGAUAUAAACAUUGGCAUCAAAUCUAGAUUCUAAUAGUACUAAGUCAACGGUCGUUUUGGUUUUGAACUAUUGCUAGAGUUCUUGAAUUAACCGAUAUUAUAUAAACAUCCUUAAAUGUUUCGUUCA